GACGCAAAUUCUAUAAACUGUUUCUUCGUCACUGAGAUUCACAAAAGUUAAUUUACACAUAAAUUUCCCAGUUACUAAUAUCACAGGCUUCGAGUUCAAUUUUCUCAUGUUUGAUGUUAUAUUUAUCUACUAAGUCGUUUUGUCGUACAUUGAAACAUAUCCACCCAUUGCACAGUGGGCAUCCAAAUUAUGAAUAUCUGUUCUUUCUUUCUACCUUGCUCUGCAGCAUAAUGAUGAUAUA
rnacentral:lncRNA from 1 species